UAGGUUCGCCUUCUCCAGGAACAGGCAGCCAACCAUCGUUCCCAUCCCCAACCCCAAUGUAGCCAUUGGUAGGGCCACCCAGAUGAGUGCUACGGACAUCCUUCGGGUGAACCGCCUUUACCGCUGCAAUACGGCUGCUUCCAGAAGCGACCCUGAACACAAGCAGAAGAAUGAUGUCCUCUGAAUCAAAAUCAAGAGGAAAUGAAGCCAAUUGAUGCAUCUUUUUAUCUACAAGCAAAAUCAGAAACGCAACUUGUGCUUAAUGAAAGUGAUUAAAUUUAUAAAUAAGACUGAUUGAGUGAGUGAUUGAUUGAUUGAAAUUAACAAGUUGAUUAAAUGAGCUUUUGCGGCGUACUAAUGAGAUAUGAAAAGCAUCCUGAUAUAUGUACACGUAGAUGAAUAACUGCUUGUGAGUCUGAUUGAAUACGUAUAAUGAAUAAAAAUGCAUGUUCACAUA